rnacentral:rRNA from 1 species
UUUAAAAAGCUUCAAACUGGGAUUAGAUACCCCACUAUGCCUAGCCUUAAACAAAAGCGAUUUAUUUACACCCCUCGCUUGCCAGGGAACUACGAGCCCCAGCUUAAAACCCAAAGGACUUGGCGGUGCUUUAGACCCACCUAGAGGAGCCUGUUCUAGAACCGAUAACCCCCGUUCAACCUCACCUUCUCUUGUUUUUCCCGCCUAUAUACCGCCGUCGUCAGCUUACCCUGUGAAGGGCACAUAGUGAGCACAAUUGGUACAACCCAAAACGUCAGGUCGAGGUGUAGCGUACGAGAAGGGAAGAAAUGGGCUACAUUUACUGAACCAGUAAACACGGAUAAUGCCUUGAAACAGACAUUUAAAGGAGGAUUUAGCAGUAAGAGAGGAAUAGAGCGCCCCUCUGAAACUGGCCCUGAAGCGCGCACACACCGCCCGUCACCCUCUGCAGUCAA